rnacentral:rRNA from 1 species
AUUGAACGCUGGCGGCAGGCCUAACACAUGCAAGUCGAGCGGCAGCGGGAAAGUAGCUUGCUACUUUUGCCGGCGAGCGGCGGACGGGUGAGUAAUGCCUGGGGAUCUGCCCAGUCGAGGGGGAUAACAGUUGGAAACGACUGCUAAUACCGCAUACGCCCUACGGGGGAAAGCAGGGGACCUUCGGGCCUUGCGCGAUUGGAUAAACCCAGGUGGGAUUAGCUAGUUGGGGAGGUAAUGGCUCACCAAGGCGACGAUCCCUAGCUGGUCUGAGAGGAUGAUCAGCCACACUGGAACUGAGACACGGUCCAGACUCCUACGGGAGGCAGCAGUGGGGAAUAUUGCACAAUGGGGGAAACCCUGAUGCAGCCAUGCCGCGUGUGUGAAGAAGGCCUUCGGGUUGUAAAGCACUUUCAGCGAGGAGGAAAGGUUGGUAGCUAAUAACUGCCAGCUGUGACGUUACUCGCAGAAGAAGCACCGGCUAACUCCGUGCCAGCAGCCGCAGUAAUAC